rnacentral:rRNA from 1 species
GACGAACGCUGGCGGCGUGCUUAACACAUGCAAGUCGAACGAAGUGGCGAACGGGUGAGUAACGCGUAAUCAACCUGCCCUUCAGAGGGGGACAACAGUUGGAAACGACUGCUAAUACCGCAUACUGAAGGAGGAGAUUGCGUCUGAUUAGCUAGUUGGGGGGGUAGCGGCCAAACAAGGCGAUGAUCAGUAGACGGUAUGAGAGGGUGAACGGGCACAUUGGGACGUAGACACGGCCCAGACGCCUACGGGAGGCAGCAGUGGGGAAUCGUCCGAAAGUGAAGAAAGACAUACGGAGCAACGCCGCGUGAGGGAUGACGGCCUUCGGGUUGUAAAGCUAUGUUAAUCGGGACGCGGUACCGGAAUAGAAAGCCACGGCUAACUACGUGCCAGCCGCCGCGGUAAUAC